UCUUGGUCAUUUAGAGGAAGUAAAAGUCGUAACAAGGUCUCCGUUGGUGAACCAGCGGAGGGAUCAUUGCUGGAACGCGCCCUGGCGCACCCAGAAACCCUUUGUGAACUUAUACCUUUUGUUGCCUCGGCGCAGGCCGUCCCUCAGGGGUCCCUUGGAGACAAGGAGCAGCCGGCCGGUGGCCAAAUUAACUCUGUUUUUACACUGAAACUCUGAGUAUAAAACAUAAAUGAAUCAAAACUUUCAACAACGGAUCUCUUGGUUCUGGCAUCGAUGAAGAACGCAGCGAAAUGCGAUAAGUAAUGUGAAUUGCAGAAUUCAGUGAAUCAUCGAAUCUUUGAACGCACAUUGCGCCCUCUGGUAUUCCGGAGGGCAUGCCUGUUCGAGCGUCAUUUCAACCCUCAAGCCUGGCUUGGUGUUGGGGCACUGCCUGUAAAAAGGCAGGCCCUGAAAUAUAGUGGCGAGCUCGCCAGGACUCCGAGCGUAGUAGUUAAACCCUCGCUUUGGAAGGCCUGGCGGUGCCCUGCCGUUAAACCCCAACUUUUGAAAAUUUGACCUCGGAUCAGGUAGGAAUACCCGCUGAACUUAAGCAUAUCAAUAAGCGGA
rnacentral:rRNA from 1 species